rnacentral:rRNA from 1 species
GAUGAACGCUGGCGGCGUGCCUAAUACAUGCAAGUCGAGCGAACAGACGAGGAGCUUGCUCCUCUGACGUUAGCGGCGGACGGGUGAGUAACACGUGGAUAACCUACCUAUAAGACUGGGAUAACUUCGGGAAACCGGAGAUAAUACCGGAUAAUAUAUUGAACCGCAUGGUUCAAUAGUGAAAGACGGUUUUGCUGUCACUUAUAGCUGGAUCCGCGCCGCAUUAGCUAGUUGGUAAGGUAACGGCUUACCAAGGCAACGAUGCGUAGCCGACCUGAGAGGGUGAUCGGCCACACUGGAACUGAGACACGGUCCAGACUCCUACGGGAGGCAGCAGUAGGGAAUCUUCCGCAAUGGGCGAAAGCCUGACGGAGCAACGCCGCGUGAGUGAUGAAGGUCUUCGGAUCGUAAAACUCUGUUAUUAGGGAAGAACAAAUGUGUAAGUAACUAUGCACGUCUUGACGGUACCUAAUCAGAAAGCCACGGCUAACUACGUG